GAUGAACGCUAGCGGCAGGCUUAAUACAUGCAAGUCGAGGGGGCAGCAAUGUCACCGGCGAACGGGUGCGUAACGCGUAUGCGACCUACCUACAUCAGGGGGAUAGCCCUAGGAAACUGGGAUAAACACCGCAUAAUAUAAGCUAAGGCAUCGUAACGUAUUGAAAUAUUUAUAGGAUGAAGAUGGGCAUGCGUAGGAUUAGCUAGUUGGUAAGGUAACGGCUUACCAAGGCUACGAACCUUAGGGGAUCUGAGAGGAGUAUCCCCCACACUGGCACUGAGAUACGGGCCAGACUCCUACGGGGGGCAGCAGUAGGGAAUAUUGGGCAAUGGAGGCAACUCUGACCCAGCCAUGCCGCGUGCAGGAAGACGGUCCUCUGGAUUGCAAACUGCUUUUGAAUGGGAAGAAUGUGCUUCUUGCGAGGAGUAAUGACGGUACCAUUAGAAUAAGCCACGGCUAACUACGUGCCAGCAGCCGCCGUAA
rnacentral:rRNA from 1 species